GACUGAGACACGGCCCAGACUCCUACGGGAGGCAGCAGUAGGGAAUCUUCCGCAAUGGACGAAAGUCUGACGGAGCAACGCCGCGUGAGCGAUGAAGGCCUUCGGGUCGUAAAGCUCUGUUGUUAGGGAAGAACAAGUACCGGAGUAACUGCCGGUACC
rnacentral:rRNA from 1 species